AUUAAGUGUGGUGAUUAUUCAAGGUUAUGGAAGCAAGGAUGGAUCCAUUAGAGAAGCAAAAAAAACGUUUUUGACCAAGCCCUCAAAUUUUCAAGCAAAUUGUGUCAUAAAAGCCUAAGGUAUGAGGCAGCAUAUACAUGUUGUGUGUGGAUAAACACUAAAGGUACCGAAGUUCGAUUUGCUGAUCCACCUGUUUAGGAUAUUUGCUGCGUCGUUGACAGUGUUCCCUUGUUCGGAGCUUGUAUUUUGGUACUGACUUUAUCUCUGUAUAUUUUGAUAUUUUGGUCAGGGGUACGACGGGGCCCUGUCCUGUCAUAUGACUAUGCUAUUAUCUGUAGAGGUCUGUAGAUAGAGUUAUGUUGUGGGUUUUGUAUAUAUGGUUUGGGGUUUUGUGUGUUUUGUGACGGCCUGUCAGCCCUCGUGCCUAUAUCUACUUUUGUGAUUUGUUUAGCAAUUUCUUCUAAUCACUACAUAU